rnacentral:rRNA from 1 species
GGCGUAAGGGCUCGCAGGCGGUUUCUUAAGUCUGAUGUGAAAGCCCCCGGCUCAACCGGGGAGGGUCAUUGGAAACUGGGGAACUUGAGUGCAGAAGAGGAGAGUGGAAUUCCACGUGUAGCGGUGAAAUGCGUAGAGAUGUGGAGGAACACCAGUGGCGAAGGCGACUCUCUGGUCUGUAACUGACGCUGAGGAGCGAAAGCGUGGGGAGCGAACAGGAUUAGAUACCCUGGUAGUCCACGCCGUAAACGAUGAGUGCUAAGUGUUAGGGGGUUUCCGCCCCUUAGUGCUGCAGCUAACGCAUUAAGCACUCCGCCUGGGGAGUACGGUCGCAAGACUGAAACUCAAAGGAAUUGACGGGGGCCCGCACAAGCGGUGGAGCAUGUGGUUUAAUUCGAAGCAACGCGAAGAACCUUACCAGGUCUUGACAUCCUCUGACAAUCCUAGAGAUAGGACGUCCCCUUCGGGGGCAGAGUGACAGGUGGUGCAUGGUUGUCGUCAGCUCGUGUCGUGAGAUGUUGGGUUAAGUCCCGCAACGAGCGCAACCCUUGAUCUUAGUUGCCAGCAUUCAGUUGGGCACUCUAAGGUGACUGCCGGUGACAAACCGGAGGAAGGUGGGGAUGACGUCAAAUCAUCAUGCCCCUUAUGACCUGGGCUACACACGUGCUACAAUGGACAGAACAAAGGGCAGCGAAACCGCGAGGUUAAGCCAAUCCCACAAAUCUGUUCUCAGUUCGGAUCGCAGUCUGCAACUCGACUGCGUGAAGCUGGAAUCGCUAGUAAUCGCGGAUCAGCAUGC